rnacentral:rRNA from 1 species
GAUGAACGCUAGCGGCGGGCCUAAUACAUGCAAGUUGAACGAGAUUGUUGGUAGCAAUACUGACAUGAAAGUGGCGCACGGGUGCGUAACACGUAUGUAACCUACCUUUAACUGGGGCAUAGCUUCGAGAAAUCGAAAUUAAUACCCCAUAACAUUUAGAAAAGGCAUCUUUUCUUUAUCAAAGUUCCGGCGGUUAAAGAUGGACAUGCGGUGCAUUAGCUUGUUGGUGAGGUAACGGCUCACCAAGGCUACGAUGCAUAGGGGGUCUGAGAGGACGAUCAGCCACACUGGGACUGAGACACGGCCCAGACUCCUACGGGAGGCAGCAGUGGGGAAUAUUGGACAAUGGGCGAAACCCUGAUCCAGCAAUGCCGCGUGUGUGAAGAAGGCCUGCGGGUUGUAAAGCACUUUAGUUAGGGAGAGUGUUUGAAGGUUAAGAGCUAUCAAGCAGGACGUUACCUAAAGAAUAAGCACCGGCUAAUCCGUGCCAGCAGCCGACGG